CCUGGACUCUACUCGCGCCACUUUCGCAAUCUUACUACAAUUCACAAACACUCCACUAAGCAUCAUAGUAGUAGCAGCACCACAUGGUCGAGCUUUGCUCUUUUUUUCCCUCUCCCUCCCGUCACUUUUUGCACCAGCGAGUGUUUAAACGGCACCGCUGGAACACCUGGACCUCGACUGGAAUCGUCCCUCGUCUUCAUCGGUCCGAUGCCACCCUAGUGUCAAAGUGCUUACAGUGCAGUCAAGAUGAAUGGGACGCAUCCAGGGAGGACACCGACUCCAAAGAUGUAUUUCCGCCUGUCAACUAACGCAGAUUGCCGGGAGAUGCUCCUAUUUAUCCCCCACGCCUCGGCACCAGUGUUUGCCUGGAUUAGAUGUAAGGAUGCGUCUUGAUUGCAAGGAUGUCAGGUGUGUGUCACCCGAUUGUCCAGAUGGAAGAUCCGUCUUCCAUGUUUGAACCGUAAACGUUUUUCUCUGACAGGACAAUCAAGUUGUAUGGAAUAUAAACAGUAUCUCACAAAAGCAAGGGUACAAUACUCUAGACCGGGGGUCGGCAACCCAAAAAAUGAAAGAGCCAUAUUGGACCAAAAUAUACAAAAAACAAAUCUGUAUGGACCGCAAAAAAUGAAAAGGCCUAUAUAAGUUUUAUAAUGAAGGCAACACAUGACGUAAGUGUCUAUAUUACCUAUAAUAGCCUACUAUCUAAAUUACUUUAAAAGUCUUAUAGAAGUGUUAUAAUAAAUGCAACACAUGAUGUAAGUGUCUAUAUUACCUAUAAUAGCCUACUAUCAAAAUUACUUUAAAAGUCUUAUAGAAGUGUUAUAAUAAAUGCAACACA